CCAUUACGGGGCUCGAUGCUGAUCUGAGCUUUGUUUCCAUGUUCUGGGGGGGAUUUUUUUUUUUCCUUUUGUUUUUCCUGAAGAAAUGAGGUUUUGUUCAUUUUUCUUCUUCAGCAGGAGGAAAUUUCCAAAGGAGCAGUCACUUUGAAUCAACGUCUUUCCCUUCAAAGAGGGCCUGUGCUGUUUGGGGAUGUUUGGCUGUUCCUUUUUGAACCUCUCCAGGAUGUGACUUGGGUGAAGCAGGACGAAAGGGCAGAGGGCUUGGUGCUUCACCGUGGCCCUUCUCAGGUCCAGGACAUCGGUGCUGAUAUGAGGGACAUCAGGACAUGGAGCUCUCUGGCCAGUUAGGAGGACAAAAAAUGAUCAAACCGCACAGGCUGCUCAGCGCACCAGGGCUUUGCUGCUGCUUUCACUGUAUCAGCUCGGAAAAUGUAUCCUUCAAUCAGUUUAAGCCCCUAGGCUUGAUGUAAUUUU
rnacentral:lncRNA from 1 species